GGAGGUCUCAAGCGUUGUUCGGAUUUACUGGGCGUAAAGCGUGCGUAGGCGGCGAGGUAAGUCAGAUGUGAAAGCUCGGGGCUCAACCCCGAAAAUGCAUCCGAUACUGCCUUGCUAGAGUGAUGGAGGGGAGUCUGGAAUUCACGGUGUAGCAGUGAAAUGCGUAGAUAUCGUGAGGAACACUAGUGGCGAAGGCGAGACUCUGGACAUCUACUGACGCUGAGGCACGAAGGGCUAGGGUAGCGAAGCGGAUUAGAUACCCGCGUAGUCCCUAGCAGUAAACGGUGCACGUUUGGUGUGGGGGGAUUCGACCCCUUCCGUGCCGGAGCUAACGCGUUAAACGUGCCGCCCUGGGAGUACGAUCGCAAGAUA
rnacentral:rRNA from 1 species